rnacentral:rRNA from 1 species
CGCUGGCGGCAUGCCUAACACAUGCAAGUCGAACGGCAGCACGGGAGCUUGCUCCUGGUGGCGAGUGGCGGACGGUGAGUAAUGCAUAGGAAUCUCGCCAGUAGGCGGGGAACAACUUAGGGGAAACUCAAGCUAAUACCGCAUGCGCCGUACGGGGAAAGCGGGGACCUUCGGGCCUCGCACUAUUGGAUGAGCCUAUGUCAGAUUAGCUUGUUGGUGGGGUAACGGCCUACCAAGGCGACGAUCUGUAGCUGGUCUGAGAGGACGAUCAGCCACACUGGGACUGAGACACGGCCCAGACUCCUACGGGAGGCAGCAGUGGGGAAUAUUGCACAAUGGGCGAAAGCCUGAUGCAGCAAUGCCGCGUGUGUGAAGAAGGCCUGCGGGUUGUAAAGCACUUUCAGUAGGGAGGAAACAGUAGCCGGUUAAUAUCCGGUUGCCUUGACGUUACCUACAGAAGGAGCACCGGCUAACUCUGUG